CCUACGGGUGGCAGCAGUGGGGAAUAUUGCACAAUGGGGGAAACCCUGAUGCAGCGACGCCGCGUGAGCGAGGAAGUAUUUCGGUAUGUAAAGCUCUAUCAGCAGGGACGAAAAAAGACGGUACCUUACUAAGAAGCCCCGGCUAACUACGUGCCAGCAGCCGCGGUAAGACGUAGGGGGCAAGCGUUAUCCGGAUUUACUGGGUGUAAAGGGAGCGUAGACGGCAAGGCAAGCCAGAAGUGAAAGGGCAGGGAUCAACCCUGUACAUGCUUUUGGAACUGUGGUGCUAGAGUGCAGGAGAGGUAAGUGGAAUUCCUAGUGUAGCGGUGAAAUGCGUAGAUAUUAGGAGGAACACCAGUGGCGAAGGCGGCUUACUGGACUGUAACGGACGUUGAGGCUCGAAAGCGUGGGGAGCAAACAGGAUUAGAUACCCCGGUAGUC
rnacentral:rRNA from 1 species